GUGAGGAAUAUUGGUCAAUGGACGGAAGUCUGAACCAGCCAAGUAGCGUGCAGGAUGACGGCCCUAUGGGUUGUAAACUGCUUUUAUGCGGGGGUAAAGUGAGUGACGUGUCAUUCAUUGCAAGUACCGCAAGAAUAAGGACCGGCUAAUUCCGUGCCAGCAGCCGCGGUAAUACGGAAGGUCCUGGUGUUAUCCGGAUUUAUUGGGUUUAAAGGGAGCGUAGGCCGUCAGGCAAGCGUGUUGUGAAAUGUCGUGGCUCAACCAUGGACUUGCAGCGCGAACUGCCCGACUUGAGUGCGCAGAAAGCAGGCGGAAUUUGUGGUGUAGCGGUGAAAUGCGUAGAUAUCACGAAGAACCCCGAUUGCGAAGGCAGCCUGCUGUAGCGCUACUGACGCUGAAGCUCGAAAGUGCGGGUAUCGAACAGGAUUAGAAACCCCUGUAGUCC
rnacentral:rRNA from 1 species